rnacentral:rRNA from 1 species
CCUACGGGAGGCAGCAGUAGGGAAUAUUGCUCAAUGGGGGAAACCCUGAAGCAGCAACGCCGCGUGGAGGAUGAAGGUUUUAGGAUUGUAAACUCCUUUUGUUAGAGAAGAUUAUGACGGUAUCUAACGAAUAAGCACCGGCUAACUCCGUGCCAGCAGCCGCGGUAAUACGGAGGGUGCAAGCGUUACUCGGAAUCACUGGGCGUAAAGAGUGCGUAGGCGGGGUAAUAAGUCAGAUGUGAAAUCCUGUAGCUUAACUACAGAACUGCAUUUGAAACUGUUACUCUGGAGUGUGGGAGAGGUAGGUGGAAUUCUUGGUGUAGGGGUAAAAUGCGUAGAGAUCAAGAGGAAGACUCAUUGCGAAGGCGACCUGCUGGAAAAUUACUGACGCUGAUGCACGAAAGCGUGGGGAGCAAACAGGAUUAGAUACCCCAGUAGUC